CCUACGGGCGGCAGCAGUGAGGAAUAUUGGUCAAUGGGCGUAAGCCUGAACCAGCCAAGUCGCGUGAGGGAUGAAGGUUCUAUGGAUCGUAAACCUCUUUUAUAAGGGAAUAAAGUGCGGUACGUGUCCCGGUUUGUAUGUAUCUUAUGAAUAAGGAUCGGCUAACUCCGUGCCAGCAGCCGCGGUAAUACGGAGGAUCCGAGCGUUAUCCGGAUUUAUUGGGUUUAAAGGGUGCGUAGGCGGCAUUUUAAGUCAGCGGUGAAAGUCUGUGGCUCAACCAUGGAAUUGCCGGUGAAACUGGGCGGCUUGAGUGUGUUUGAGGCAGGCGGAAUGCGUGGUGUAGCGGUGAAAUGCUUAGAUAUCAGGCAGAACCCCGAUUGCGAAGGCAGCCUGCCGAGCCAUGACUGACGCUGAUGCACGAAAGCGUGGGGAUCAAACAGGAUUAGAUACCCCAGUAGUC
rnacentral:rRNA from 1 species